GUCUUUGUCGUGUAAUGGUCAGCACACUCGGCGCGUAUUCGAAAGGUCCGAGGUACGAAUCCCGGCGAGGGUA
rnacentral:tRNA from 1 species